UCAAUAAUGUUGUACUUUGUAUUUAUUAAAAGCAUAAUUAAAAUCGAUUCGAUCUAAGUUCGAUUUGACUUUGGUGGCUUUAAUUUCUUUUCUUCUCUACUGUAAAUUUGUUCCGUUUCGUUAACGAGACUGUCUAAUCUCGCGAUAGCUAGGUUAGAAACAUGUUUUUUAUUCUGAGCAAUUACUACAUUUCUGUGUUGGCUUUAUAAAACCUUGGAUAGAAAAGAGAUUUAUUUGAGAUUUGGAAAUGUAAUUUUUGAUUGAAGUAUGAUUGUGAUUCUACAUAUAAAUACGUGUACAAUUGCAGGUAAACGAAAGAGGAACAUUGACAACACACAAACAGAAAACUGAAGAAUUUUAAUAAGGAGAAGAAUACUGGUGUUGGGAAAGAAGAGUAGCACAGACGGAAUAGUACAUGAAAUUAUGGUUAAAUUGGAAAUGAACAAACCAGCGGAAGAAGAAAAGAAGAGAUCGCACCAAACUGUGAAUAAGUAUAUGACAGAACAGUAUGUCCAUCCAGACCCUAUUUGUGUACAUGCAAGUGUAUUUGAACUGUGGACUGUCGAAGAGAGCAAACAAGACGUUGAUGCUAUAGAGAAAACACAUGCAAGGCAGAUUACAAUAUUGUGAGAAAUGUAUCGAGCUCUAUAACGUCGUUUUGGAAGCUUAUGCCUCCAAAGGGAACUUGGUUAAAGUAAUGGAGAUUUCUAGAAAGUGAUAAAGAUGGAUUCCGUCAAGCCAACGCCACAAACUUACGUUUCUACGUAUAUUGGAUGCAUUGGGAAGAAUAAAAAUGGGGGGAAAACAAAUAGCUCUGUUGAAUCAAUUGAGACGAGAAAUGUUUAAUAAUAAUAUAUCAUUGAAUCAGAUAUUCAGCAAUUCAUAUUUCAAGCACGACCUAAGAAAGAUGAUUCUGGAAUUAAUUAGACAAAUUUUGCCAAACUUUAAACUACCACCUGAUGCAGAAUGUUGAAUGUGCAAUAUUCGCAUAAUCUUUUGAAUAAAAAAAAAUUGAAUGAAGAAUAAUUAUCAAAGUCUAGUGAAGGGCGGAGAUCAUUACGAUGGGGGGAGUUGAAAGAUUGUUUGAAAGAGCAAAUGCAAAAUGAAGCGGAAACUGAAGUGCAAGUUGAAAGCAUCGUCAAACAUUGUGAAAAAACCCUUCUGUUUCUAGAUAUGGUGUUCGGCCACUUCUUGCAAAAAUUUUAAUGAGCGAUAGUAGAGGCCAAAAUAAGACGAAAAUCAAGUAUACUAAUUAGUUGAUGGAGGCUUCGUUACAAAGUUAUUAACAUUUAAAGUUCCGCCUGAAUCAUGGCAACCAUCGAGCAUAUGCGUAAGCGUAGGAGGUCAGGAGACGAUGUAUUACAGGAACCGAGCUUACCGACUUAUCGAUCGCCUUUCGUGUUUGCGUCAACUCUCAGGACGGCGACCGUGGUACGUUGAAUGAAAUCCGACAGCCUCUCGUUUUUGCGUCAACUCCCAGGAAGGUAAACGCAUAUCGUCGAAUAGGAUUCAACCUGUCUUAUGAACAUCCAGAGGGGCAUAUCAAUACUCGCCCGACAAGAUGUUCACAGAGAGAGGGUGAAUGCCUCUUUUAACACACACAUUUUUUCUGCAUAAGAAUCACCCACACGCGAGCAUACACGCAUCGCGAUUGUCCCGUCCGCGAAUGUCCACGUGUACGCGCACCACGAUUGUCCCGACUGCGAGUGUCCACAAGUAAAUACUUUUCGACGAGCACCACUAUUCAAUUAAAUAAUACACGCGCACCGCGAUUGUUCCGUCCGCGAAUGUCCACGUGUACGCGCACCACGAUUGUCCCGACCGCGAGUGUCCACAUACACAGAGAGAACUGCCUCACAAAAGAUGUUCCACGUGGCCACCAUUCUCUUGUAGGCACAGCUGCAUUCUUCUCUGGAAAUUUCGUCGAAUAUUUUCUAAAUGAGCCCCUUCUCGUGACUCAAUAAUACCAGCUGAAAACGUAAUCCGGCAAUUGAGUUCGUCGAGCGUGUUUACUGGUGUUGAGUAAACUAAAUCCUUUAUGUGGCCCCAGUAGAAAAAAUCAAGGGGGUUGAAAUCAGGUGAACGAGCAGGCCACAGCUGAGGUCCUCCUCGUCCAAUCCACUUGUUUUUAAAGUACGCGUUUAAAUGCCCGCGUACUGCCAGUGUGGAAUGGGGCGGUGCACCGUCGUGCAUGUACCACAUGUUUCUGCGUACAUGUAGUGGUACAUCCUCCAGAAGGCUUGGCAACUGCGUUUCCAAAAAUUCCAGGUACAAUUGUCCUGUUAAUCGUUGUGGCAAGACCACAGGAAAACUGGCGUUGUGUAUUUAUUGCGUAAACCGCGUGUGGGUUUUCUUCUGCCCAAAUAUGGGCAUUGUGUGUGUUUAUGUUGCAUUUUUUCUCGUUCCGCGCCGCGCACUACACAACACAAACCGCGUACCACACACUACACUGCACUACACAACACUACACAACACAACUUAAUAUAAACCGC